CAGUAGCCGCGGUAACACGGAGGGUGCAAGCGUUAAUCGGAAUUACUGGGCGUAAAGCGUGCGUAGGCGGUUCGUUAAGUCUGUUGUGAAAGCCCCGGGCUCAACCUGGGAAUGGCAAUGGAUACUGGCGAGCUAGAGUGUGUCAGAGGAUGGUGGAAUUCCCGGUGUAGCGGUGAAAUGCGUAGAGAUCGGGAGGAACGUCAGUGGCGAAGGCGGCCAUCUGGGACAACACUGACGCUGAGGCACGAAAGCGUGGGGAGCAAACAGGAUUAGAUACCCCAGUAGUCCCUGUCUCUUAUAC
rnacentral:rRNA from 1 species